UACGAAGGGGGCUAGCGUUGUUCGGAAUUACUGGGCGUAAAGCGUGCGCAGGCGGCUUCUCAAGUCAGGGGUGAAAGCCCAGAGCUCAACUCUGGAAUUGCCUUUGGGACUGAGUGGCUUGAGUACGAGAGAGGUGAGUGGAAUUCCCAGUGUAGAGGUGAAAUUCGUAGAUAUUGGGAAGAACACCGGUGGCGAAGGCGGCUCUCUGGACCACAACUGACGCUGAGGCGCGAAAGCGUGGGGAGCAAACAGG
rnacentral:rRNA from 1 species